ACUUUGCUGCUCCAGUCGGGCCAUGGGUGCACAGCUCCUCUGCUGUAUAGCCCUUUGUCUCCUGGGGGCAGGUUUUCUUGAUGCUGCUGUUACUCAGACUCCAAGACAUUUGAUCAAAUUGAAAGGGGAGAAAGCAGAGAUGAAAUGUAACCCUGAAAAGGGGCACUCUGCUGUUUACUGGUAUCAACAAAAACAGAACAAAGAAUUUACAUUCCUGAUUUACUUUCUGAAUCAAAGGCCUCUUGAUCAGAUAGACAUGGUCAAGGAGAGAUUCACAGCUGAGUGCCCCUCAAGCUUACUCUGCAGCCUGGGAAUCAGAAUUUCUGAAGCAGAAGACUCAGCACUCUACCUGUGCUCCAGCAGUCAAUCCACAGCACUGAAAUGUGCACUUCCCCCUGUGCAUAAACUCACCAUGGAGCCAGUUACAGAACAGGUGAUGUUGGAAGGAAGUAAGAGAAAUUAA